rnacentral:rRNA from 1 species
UACAGAGGGUGCGAGCGUUAAUCGGAAUUACUGGGCGUAAAGCGCGCGUAGGCGGCUUGGUAUGUCGGGUGUGAAAUCCCCGGGCUCAACCUGGGAACUGCAUUCGAAACUGCCUUGCUAGAGUACGGGAGAGGGAAGUGGAAUUUCCGGUGUAGCAGUGAAAUGCGUAGAUAUCGGAAGGAACGCCAGUGGCGAAGGCGACUUCCUGGACCAAUACUGACGCUCAAGUGCGAAAGCGUGGGGAGCAAACAGG